CGGCGCGGGGCGGUGCGUCGUGAGGGGAGAUGGCGGGGCAGCGGUUCCCUCACGGCACCGCCGGGCCGAGGCCUCCGGGAACGGGCCGGGCCGAGACAGCCGGGCCCUCGGGCAGCGGGGAGCCGGGGCGAGGAGCCCGCGGUGAGGAGCCCGCGGUGUGCACUGCCCUGGUGCCGGGGCCUUCAGUAGCGCUGAGCUGAUGUCCGGCUGGGCAUCGUGUCUGCACCCUCCAUGUGCAGUUUCCACAUCAACGCAACCGAAGCUGCUGAGGAGGAACGAUCUGAGGAGGUUUGAUCUUUGUAAGCUGCUGGUGUUCAGCCUCCAUGGACAGUUCUGUCAGUGCACUCGAACAAGGCUGCAAAGAUAAUUACCUGCACCAGGAAUUUGUGUGGAGAGCCUGCACGAGCCUGCAGCACUCACCAGCACUUGCCAGCAAGGUUCCUGUCUGGAAAAGAAAAGCAACAAUGCUCUGACAUGCCAGCAAGCUCAGUCCUUGAAAGGUCCUGUAGAUGCCACUGACAUUCCUGCUGGCUGAGGUGUUCGGCUCUGCUGGGAGACCCCUCCAUCCUCUUCCUGCUCAGCAAAGGGACACAAUUGGGCCCUGGAAGACCAGCUGGGUGGAGGGUGAAGUGCUGAGAGUGGAGUUGUUCUGUGUUUGAGAGUAAAUGUGGAUGAACAUCCCUUGCUGACGGAGCACUGUGGUGUCCCUGCCUGCCCUUCACACCAAAUGGGCUUGAAAGACGAGCGUGCAUCUGCCCGACAGCUUUCAGAGCGAGCCAUCCCUGCCAGCCAAAGCAGAUUCUCCAUGCUUGCUUCCAAGCAGCACGAGCUGAAACAACUGGUGGCAGAGUGGGGUGUCUCUGCAGUCCUAGCCAUGAAGAGAGGAGAGGAAAUGUCCUCCUGCUCAGAGCACAGAGAAGAGGCUGGAGCUGGGCUGCUUUCUCCACAACUGUAGAACUGUGGUGAAAUGGGGAUUCUUUAUGUUUCAUUGGCUUCUUUGAGGAAAACAGCGACCACGAGAUCAGACAGAGCCUCGGGGAUGAAUAAAUUUACUGUAAUAGGAGUGAGUCAGCAUGGAUGUAUUGCAGGGAGGCUGGAAACAUGACCCUGACUGGACCAGGGUGCUCCGUGGCAGUUGCAGAUCUGGAGCCUGACAGUGAGUUGGAGAAGUCUGAGGGUUUGCUGGUCCAAGCCAAGCUCCCAGGGCAUGGACCUCUGAGGGCUGCACUCACAGAUGAGAGGAUAAUCAGGGAAUCACAGACUGGGAAGCAAUAGCUCGCAGUCAGGAAGCUGCUUGUUUCAUGAUUAGAAUCGCUGCAGCUCCCAAGGGAAGGGAUGGCACUGUCUGGGCAGACCUGGCUCUGCCGAGAGCACUUGUGCCUGGUACUCCACCAAGGAUCUGGUCUAUGGUGGAAAAGUUGCUGCUGCUGAGGUGGGAUUUAGGAGCCAAGAGAUGCUGGGCUGCGUGGGACACAGCACUGAAUGGGAGCAGUGGGAAGUGGAGUUCACUCAGUGACUGACACGAGCUCCCAGCUGGCUUUGGCAGGAAACUGUUCAGUAUCCGAAGCCCGGAGUGCCUCUGCCAGCCUGACACCGGCGGUGAGUCCGGACCCCAGUGCCUGCGCAGUCCCUGCCACGUCCCAGCUGGGCAUUGUGCAUGCAGGUGCUUCUCCUGGGCAGGAUGCAGGGUGCACCUGAGUCAUUCCCUGCAUUUAUGAUCUGAUCCCUCGGAACAGCUCCGUCAGCAGCUUCUCCUCCCCUCGUGCAGUUCAUGGAGACGUUUCCAUGCCUGGGCGCCCUGGAAGUCCCAACAAGCCACGAGUGGCCGGGACCUGCUGAAGCGUGUUGAUCCAGACACUGGAUCCCUGAAACCUGUGCUUUCCCCAGCACCUUCAUAAAGUGUCCUGAGUUAAAGUGAUUCAGGGAGCACAUUUCCAGUCUGUCAGUGGGCUGCAUCCAUCACUCUCCUGAACAUGCACCAGAUUGUUAAUGCUCCAGGCCAAAUACCACGUCUUUUUUAAUGCCUACCCGAUGUAGUGCGUGCUGCUGGCUUUAUAUUUAUAAUAAUUAUUAAAGUAAUGGCAGUAGUUGCAUUCCUAUAGGCUAGAAGUGGCCAGGAACAGACAAAAAAAAUGAUUCAUUGUUCCAAUUAAUGCUCGAGCUCACACCGGUGAUUAAUUAGCCUGGCGAUAGCGCUAUGCAAAAGAUCAGGGUGAGAAUUAAUAGGGAGACACGUGCUGACUUUUAAGAUGGUUCCAGCACUCUUUAGUGCCCUUCCUUGGGCCUGUUUAAUUAGAGGCAGCGGCAUGGGCUCGCUCUGCACCAACACCCCCGACGGCAGGCACUGCAGAAUAUUUAUAUGACAGGGUGCCGUGGAAAACUUCAAAAUUAAAUUCCCAUCCAGGCCUCUAAAUAUAAUUCUGAAAUGUCAGAGAUGCUGGGAAGAGUGCUGGCACUGGAUGAGGUUGCUGUCAGGGAGAGGCAAUAGUGUGCCAGAUUUAUACUGGCCUGAGUAUGCAGGUGACUUUUCAGCUUGGUGUUUAAGGAGCCUGAGGUGCUCUGAUGGAUGUAUUUCACCUGGUGGGAGGCACAGGAUCCAACGGGAACAUGUGCUGGAGCCUUGUGUGCCCGGCUUGGAUGGGGGAGACGGAGCAGGGGCAGCUCCCAGGAGCCUGUGAGUUCCCAGGAGGCACAACCCACUCUGGAGUACCAACCUUUGAAGCCCCCCUCCAGCUCGGAGAAUAAAUCCCAGCAGUACAGCCAGCGUUCAGGAGGAGAUCUGGGGUGUUAAGAAAGCAUAAAUACCCGUUUAAAAGGAUGGCACCCUCGCGUUACAGCAGGAAAGCAGGAGGAGGCGAGGCAGGAUUGACACUUUCUCCCCCCGAGGGCUUUUCCUAAGACGCCUGCUGGGAACACUCCUGUGUGUUUCUCUUUAGGAGAUCAGUAACCUCAUUUCAGUUUUGCCAGAUCAUCGGCACAAGAGCUCUGUGUCCUUCUCCCUUCUUGGCCAGCAGUUUUGAGAGGAACAUGACUCCUGUUUUAUCACUUGUCUGUGAUGCCCCAACACUUUCUACAUGGCCAGCAGAGAGAUCUUUCACUCGUCCCUGCAUGUGCACACACACAGGUACAUCCUCUGGGGAAGGAUUUGUCAGCAGAAGAAAUCGCAGAGCAAAAAUGCCCAUCAUGAUGAAUUCACAGAAAAUACGCAAUCCUACGCCCAGAUAGGCAGGAGAAAGGACACUUAGAGCACCUGUACUGAAAGGGAGAAGGUGAAGGAGCCUGUGAGCAUUUCCUGCCUCCUCUACUCUUAUGCAGAUUCUAAACACGGGUCUGGUUGUUUCCUAUAUAAAUCUAUUUUUCCUCUCUGCUUUUUUGCUUUGAAGUAUCUGUCUGUGUUCUCAAUGAAGAACAGCUGAGAGAUCAGGAAAAUGGCUUAAGAAUUCAGCAGGCUGUGAGCUAUUUGGACUGAAAACAGUGCCUGGGAGAGAGUUCUUCACACUGCCUUGCUAAACAAUAUCCUCCUGUCACCAUCGGAGGCUGCUGUCCUUUGUUUGUCACCUUCCCUCUGACUCUCCAGAGCCUUCAAGGAAGGAAAAAGAAGGACAAAGGAGGCUCCUUUUCUUUUUUCUUUGUUAAAUUCCCCCAAGCCCUCAUUUAAAAACCCACAGCACAGCCCUUAUGGCCCAUCUGCUGUUGUUUCAGGUUUGCUCCAUGGCUUUGUUCAUCAUUUCCCUGUUGAGCAAGCCCUGGAUCCUUGGGAGCCACGAGCAGGACCCGAGUGCCACCCUGAGCUGCAGCUCCCCCUCUGCGACCUGCCAAAGAGGAACUGCCCACAGGACACUCAGGCACAGCUUCUGGAGUGUCUCUAAAGCCAUUUUUGUUCAGAAAUUCCUGUUGUUGUUGUUCCUGCUGACCUCAGUGGGCUGUAUCUUUUCCAAAUGUUUCUGACGUUUCUCACAGGGUAAUCUGUGAAUGUCACAGACAAGAAUUCUGCUGACUUCAGUUUGGCUUCUGCUCCCCAUUGGAUGGGCUCCUCUCUUUAUGGGGGAAUGCCUCUAGCCAAAAAGAGAGGCAAAACCCCCCAGCCCCUGAGCUAAGUGAAAGCAGGCCCAAAGGGAAGCGCGUUCCAGCCGCAGUGCCUCUCGCUGGCUGGCUUCUGUUCCGUGCUUGGGGAUGUGCCAGACUCCAGUGCCUCCGUGCUUUUGAUUCCUGUUUAUCCCCGGCAACAUGAUUGUCUGUAAUUAUAUAUAAUCUCCUUGUUUACUCUUCUUCCUCCAGGUCUGAACGCAAGCUUGAUGGCAACUCUCUGCUCCGUCUGCCAGGGCUGCAGCUCCAACCGCUCCUCUUCAUCCUCCACCUUCUUUUUCCAAAGUAACAAAGCCAUUGGAUUUCCUCCCACCCCUUCCCCGCGGCUCCCCUCCCCCUCGCUGGCACCGGGGUUAUUUAUACAGAAUGUGGAAACAAUUUGCAGGAAAGUGAACAAUGUAAGCGGGCCGAGGGAAGGGAGACAAGUUUGUUGUGCACGCUGAGAGUGCACAGUGAAAUGCUGUUUUUUGGGGGGCACAGGGAGCAGACUGUUUUCCUUUCUCCCUUCUCUGCUCUCUCACCAUCUCCCUGAGCUCUUUCCAUCCUGCCGGAGUCAGGCCACACCGGAGCAGCCAGAUCUGAGUGCGUGUUUCGGAGGACGCUCAGAUUGGAUCCCGCCCUGCACCGCAGCUCCGUGAGGCAGUGUGUGCUUAAUCCCCUCCGAGGUUCUGCUCUCGGGUCGUUCCCGCUCCUGGAUUAGCAUUCAUGACGAGCAUGUGUGCUCCAGAGGUCCUGCUCCGGGCCCCGGGAGCUGCAGCACUGCCUGGUGUUAGACACAGCUAUUCCCAGGAACAGUUGGGCUCAAGGAGGACAUUUCUGGGAGUGAACGAGGCAGGAACUUUUUGCAAAGUCUAAUUUCAGUCUUUCUGCCCUCACCUGCUGAGCGCUGCAUUUCCAGGGCAUCCCAGCACCUUGCUGGCUCCACUGGGAGUGUGUCUGUAAAUCCAGCAGUUUCCUUGAGUGCUCUGGGGCUGGGGAAGCUGAACCAGCACUCACUCAACACCUCUGAGCAGUUCUGGGCUCUUCAGACAUUGCUCUGCACUGUGAAGUCCUCAAAGAGAGAUAAUCCAAACACACACAUCCUUUGGGGAAGGGCCGCUGGCGUUGCAGAGGGAAGAGAACGUUACCCCGGGUUCCAGGUCGGAGCAGAGCAGCUGCCCUGGCCACAGUGGAGGCCUCAGCCAGCUCCUGCCCUCCUGGGAGCCUCCUUUCCCAACAGCCUCCAGCCUUGGGACAGGAUCUGUGCAUUGUGCUGAGCUGGUAGGGCAGGGCCAGGAAGCUGCCAGGUGGGACAGCAUGUUCCUCCCUAAAGCAGGCAGAUUCCUGGCUGGGAACUGGUGCAGCUGAUCAGUGCACUGUGGUCCAGUGGCACAGAGGCACAGUCAGAGGGAAUGUCUGGUGGGCUUUUCCUUCCUGAGAAUCCAUCCUCUCCACCUUCCAGUUCUUCCUGCUCCUUCUCAGUCCCUGUCCACACACAGAGUGGGAACUUCCCAUGGAUGUUUGUUCUGUAACCCGCCCGUCUGCUGUCCCACAUGGUAUGGCAGGUGUGUCUGGCUAGGCUGGGCCUCCCCAAGCUCAGGGCACAGCAGAGCCCGUUGCAAACGCUGCUCCCUUCAGCCAGCUCUUGGCUGAGUUCACAGCUCCAGGUGUAAAGCACAAGAAGGGUGGGAGCAAAGACACUUCAGCCACCGAUGUUUUCUGGCCGGAGCAGUUCAGCUCUUUGGGUUCUCCUGAUUCUCACUGACGCUGGGAAGGGUCCAGGAGAACAAUUUCUGUUUUCCCUCCCAAGCCAGGCACCAACAGGGACUGGGAGGCUGCAAGUGGGAGCAGACAGAACCUAGACCCAGCAGAGCUGGGGGGUCACUGGUUCCCACUGCAGCCACGCCGUGUCCGGGAGCACAGCGUUGAUCCACAGCCUGGCUGCUUCCCCUCCCUGCUCCUGGCAGGAGCCUGGUGGUGUCUGAGCACCUGCCCAGGCUUGUUCCACACUGUGCUUCCCUGCUGGCAAGGGGAAGGAUAGGAGAGAGCUUGAAUCCAUCAGCCUCCAGAGAGAGAACCCCUCCUGCAGGCUCGGGCAGGCGGGCAGCAGCUCUGCUGCUCAGGGGAGUCUCUGGGCACCCCACUGAAGGCCUCAGGGCAGACACAGACAUUUCCAGCCUCUUUCUGAAUCCCAAGGGUCUCCCCUUACUCCUGGAAAGAUGUGGCCUUGAGUUACACUGCAUGGAGAGCUCUCAACUCACUUUCAAGCUCCUAUAGACACUAAACUGCAGAGACCAGAGGGACCAGGGUAAUUUCAGGGAAGCAGCCAUUGAAACACUUGUGCUUUUUCCCUUCUGGUUCUAAAUGUUCAAAUUCUCACAAAAAUAUGAGACACACUCUCCUUGGAAUGACUGUGCUGCUCAAAACAUUUGGAAUUUCCUCUUUCAUCUGGUUCUUUCUUCUUUUUUUUAAUUAUUUUGAGGGCUCUUUAGAUGAGAACAGAUUUGUAUUCCUGUCUCCCUGCUGCUCACUUCCCACCUGAAAUCCUUGGCUGCUCUUUGCAGUUCCCAACACAACGGCGAGCGAAAUCCUGAACGGAGCAUUCAAACUUCAGGUGAGGAAAAGCAACAGCAGCAGAUGGGCUUGUAAACAGCAGAGACCUGGCUCGGGCACAGAGGUCCUUGCAGCGCGGGAAGGAGCAGGAGGGUUGGUAAACACAGAGCAAUUUCCAUUUUCUGGGCUGAAACGUGGGGAUCUGGGGAGGGGAGGGCGGUGUAGGAACAGCAGCUCUCCCAUUCUGGCACAGUCAGCUCUUCCCAGCAGAAGCUGUUCCUGUCAGAACUUGCAGCAAAUGGGAGAAGACGGGAAAGUGGGGGACGUUUUCCAGCAUCAGGGAAUUUGCGGGUGAUGAAAACAAGAUUUCCAGCAGCCCUUUUGCACUAGUCUUGGUUUCUAAAGUGGUGUCCUCCUGUUUUCCUGCCAUUCUUCCCUCUCCUUGAAUUCCUUCUGAAAGUGUCAGUCGGCAGAGUUGGGAGUAACUUCACUGAUACAAAAUUCCCACAAGUUACCUGAAAGUUUGCAGCUGGACAGAGGAAAAAGAAAACCAGAGCAGAGUCCUCAUGGGUGGAAGAAAAAAGCAGGAUAAGGAGGCUCAGUUCCAUAGUUUAUUGAGCCCAGAGGGAUUUCUACAAACCACAUGGCAUCAGGUGUCAAAGAAAUGAGGGAUGAAAACCAGCGUGGAACAGCAGAGCAGCCCAAAACUCCCACAGCCCAGUGAGGCUCCAGAAAUGUUGGAGAGGCCCAAACAGCCCCUUAAUGUGAACGUGCUGGCCAAGAGCAGCCCCUCCACCUUGUUCCUGUCAGGAGAAAGUCCUGAGUCAUGUCAUGGGUGUUCUUUCCUUGGACAGGGAGACUCUGCACAUCCUGUGGACUCUGGGAGUCACGGGGAACAGAGACUGAUGAAAGAUGGUUCCGAGCUGGGAGUUUGGAGAGGUUUGUGCUUGAUCUAGGGCUGAAGGCUGUUGUUUCUGUUUUUCUUGGGGAUUGGGAGGGGAGAGGUUACUGAAUCCCUGAGUCUUAAUGUGAAAUGAUUAGAAUCUGGAACAGAUUCCAAACCAGACAUUUAGGGACUACUAAAUGUACAAAGCAGCUUGGAUACCUAUCACCAGAGUUCAUCCAGUCCUGGAAAAAGCCUCUGAAAUGGGCAGUGCUUUAACAAAGUACAGAUGUCUGGGGAUGCAAAAUACAAGGAAAAAUUAUGAGGAGGAAGAGAUAACACUUUCUCCAUUUCUUAGAGAGGGAGAAAAUGACAGAAAGUUAUUAAUUUUAUUCCCAGGGCUGUGGUAGCUGGACAAGGAUGCAAGGUUAAGGUGAUCCCCAUGACCUGACACUUGCAGAACAAGUGGGGUCCCUGCAUCCUGACACGAGCCAUUCUAGGGAGAUCUGUAAUCCCCAGUAAUAACCUCGGAGGUUAAUUGGCAUUGGGAAAUGAGUUUAUUUGGUAGGUGGGCUAGAGGGGGUUUAAUUACAUGUUUGGAUCAGUGUUGCUUCAAGCAUUAAUUUUGCCUGGGAAAGGAGGGUGUCAUGUCAGGAGUGACACUUCCACACCGCUUAGAUUGGGGCACAACCGGGGGGACUGGAGAGAGCCCGUGGACUGUUGGGGAGGAUGGGAACGAGCUCUGAGUAAAAGCAUCCCUUUGCUGUUUUGGGCCAGGAUUCCCUGGACUUCAUGUAAGGCCCAGUUCCCUGAGAAUGGCACUCAGCAGCUUUUGGACAGUCAGGCUGUCAGAAGGCAUCCCUCUGAAAUACACGAUGGAUUUCUUUUUUUGGGCCUUAUUUCUCUUCUCUGCUUUGUGUCAUAUUCUCCUUGCAGCUUUCCAGAGCAGAGUUACUCUUCCACUUGUUCUCUUUUGCCUCCUGCUGAGUCAAUUCCUUUAUUUUCCAACAUUAUUUGUACUGUAGUCACUCCCAGAAUCUGGGAAAUCAUCCUCAGAAGUCUCCCCAUCUCCUGAGCUUACUGCCAACUCUCCCACUAAAGCUUUGAAUUCUUUGUUAUAAAGAAGAAUAAAAGGCCAGCAAAGUGCACCUCGACACCCAUUCAGGUGCCAUUACCCUAUAAUUCUUUAAAAACUCCGUGUGCAUUUAUAGUGACUGGGAAGUGCUGGAGUGGGAAGCCUCUGGACUAAAUUGGUGUUCACACAUGAAAGAGAACCAGUCCCGCGUGCGGCAGUGGGCUCUGGGCGGGUUCGGUCGCCGGCUCGCUCGGCGGGCUCGGGGCAGUCAUUGCCUGCCUGUGCCCCUGCUGGCAGUGCCCAGCUCCAGCUGUGCCCGUUUGGACGAGGAGCUCCUCGGGACACAGCCCGUCCCCCACACGUGGAGCUGCACUGGAGCCUGAGGUGAGCCGGCAACACAGCCAGGGAUGAGAGGAACGCCCAGACAGCCCGGCAAGGCUCCCAGACACGCUGCCCUACGAGCACGGCUGGAGCCCGGGUGCUGCGAGCUGUCUCUGUUCCCAGGCCCUGGCCUCUCUCCGGCGGCCAGCAAAGCGUUCACCACUUCCAGUUACAGCGGUGAGGUGAACUGGCACCUUCCCAGGGGAAAUCACUAAACUCACUUUGCAAAGUCAGGCAGAGCCGGAUCGGAUCCUCCAUCCUUCCUGGAGCUGUGCCACCUCCCCGCAGGUGAAAAGCUCCUUGCGGUUCUGAGCCAUCCCAUCCUAUCCCAUCUCAUCCCAUCCCAUUCCACCCCAUCCCGCUCUGCCCACGCUCCAGCCUGCUCCAAUUUUCUCCCCUCCUCCCUUGUCUGAGGAGCUGCAGACACAAUCCUUGGCUUUCCCUCUUCUCCGCAGGCUUUUCCAGAGGCCUUUCUUCCCGUUAUUUGUUCGUUCCUGCGCUCCAUCCCAUCUUUUGCGUCCCUCCCUGGUCUGAUGCAGCAUCUCGCUGGUCCUGCCUUGCACUCCGAGCAGGGGUAUUAGAUGGAUUCCCCAUAGAGUAUAAAUUGAAUGGAGAGAAGUGGCUGGUUUCUCAGCAAUAAUUUAUCUGAUUAAAAAAAUACUCCCCAAACUCCCCCUCCUCCGCCCGUCCUACGCCCCCUCCAAAAAGCACCAUUGGCACCAGGGCUGGUGUUUGAACUGUGUUAUUCAAAUUGCUGGGAGGGUGAUUUAGAUGGGAAAAUAACAGGCAGAGGAUGGUUCUCGGGGGAUUUUCCCCAGAGCGUCGGCACUGAAAUUUGGAACCUGGGCUGUUGUGUGGAGGAGGCAGAGAGUAAAUAAUUCUGAGGCAAGUACCUGGGUGAUUUGAACCUUUGCCCCCGUGUAACAAACGCCCGGCCCGGAUGCACACGCACGAGCACGGGCUCACACGUGUCUGCCCACCACACACACUGCACGGAGGCGCCGAACUCCGGCGCACAGCCAGCUGCUCCUGCUGCUUCCUCUCCCCUCUCUUUCUUCCCCUACCUCAGGGCUGAUUCCAAAUAAAAGAAGGAAUCUGCCUCACACAAUGCCCCUCGCCUUGUUUGUUACUUGCACGGACUUCAUUCCUUCCAAACCAUUUUCUUCUCCAGCAUUCCUGUUGUAACUGUGGCAUGGAAAAGUCACCCCAAGGCCGCUCUCACGGGGCCCGGGCAGUGGGUUUGGCUGGUGCCUGUUCCUGUGAGGGUGACAGGCAGGUAUUCACAGGUAUUUACAUCCCCGAGAGCUCCCAGAGCGCCGGGAUUUACACCAGCGGCUCCUUGGUGCUGUCAAGGGCAGCACUGCUGCUGACACCCGAGUGUCCACAAACCAUUCCAGGGGCCUGGCGUGGUCCCAGCUCCCCGGGCUGCUGGACAUUCCUCUGCUCCCAGCUGCUUUCUGGCCACUGGGUGAAACGGGAACGGCCCGGCUGGAGCUUUCCAGCCUUGAAGCACCCUCAAGCCAGCGGCCGGGGCUCAGGUUUCCUGCGUUUUGACAGGAGGGCUGCUCAGAUGAAACCUCUCUCCGCUCCUUCUGGAGGAUUUGCACUGCCACAAGUCCUCAUUUUUUCCAGAUGUUUUACCUAAUAAAUCAAGGAGUCUCACCAGAGGAUUGGGAUCCAAAAGCUGUUACCAUGACUUCAAAGGCACAGGCUGGAGUGGAAAGAAGCGGUGCAGACAUUUUAUACCACUCUGUAUGCACUGAUCAUGAAAAUACGCUCUGCUCCCAGGAUUUUUUUCCUGUGGAUACCAGAACUCCAACCAUGAUUAAAUAAAAUAGUGCUUUGCUCCUUCAGCCAACCUUUGCUGAAAAGAAUGGAGCUGCAGGAGCCUCGGGCUGUAGGGCUGGCAGGAACCAGGAUGGGGCUGAUCCUGAGAGGGGCUGAACUCUGCCAGCUCCUGUCCAAAAUCCAGGGCUGUUAACUCAGGGCUGAACUCCCUCCAUCUUUUCAGAUCAAUGUUCAACUGCAUAUUUUCUCCCAGUGCUAGUUUAAGCAAUUCCCACAUAAAGGAAUCAGAUGUUCAUCUUCUUCAGAUGUUGGGAGAGAAAAAGAUAAAAAGAGUUACAUGGCUGUAAAAUGUGAUUGGGACUAUUCAGACCAGUUUGUUCCUUGAUCAAGAAUGUAACUUUUCUUUUUUAAUGUAGUGAAGGCUUUCUUUUUGCAGUGUCUACUCAGUGUCAUUUUCUUCCGCUGUUCCAUUUCUAAAGAUAACUGUGUUUGGAGAAGCUGUUACAUGUUUCUAUCACUCCAUAGCACAGGGUGCUGCCGGAGAACAGAAUGAAGAAAAGCAGCUGAAGAAAGGAAAGCUGAUCCUGUGGUGGGCAGUGAGGAGCAAGAGGACAUUUGGUUCUGCAAGAUGUUUAACCAGAUCAGAAAACCUCACCAUGGCUGCACAAGGGCAGAUGUUUAGAAAGAGGGGAUGUCCCACUGCAGCCAAGUGGAAGGGAGAGCCAGACUUCAGAAAAAUUGCUGCUUGUCUUCCCUCCCCCAUGAGGCUGAAUCCCAGCACCCCAGACUGUCGUGACUGCCUGGGAUUGGUGACAUCUCCAGCAAAACGUGUUGGAGCAUCAAAACAGAGUGGGAGCAGCACAGCCUGGCUCCGGGAGCCAAAAAUAGGUACUAUCAUUUCUGAGCUGAAGCCUCCCUUCUCCUUCCCCAGCCAGCCCUGCCUCUCUGGCACGUGCAGCACAUAAUCGUGGUGUUCCCAUCGGACUGAAGGAAAACCACAUUCCUAAAGCAAGCAGGGCAUUAAGUGGUGGCCAUGCUUUGGAGGCAGAGAAUGUUAGGGCAUGGAUCCUAAAUUAGGGAACAUCGGUGGUGAUGGUUUGCAGAUUUUCUGUGGGGAAUGGGUGUAGAAAGGAGCACGGCUCAUCUCCUGCAGUGCCAUGUGGAAAAGCAUCAGAGAUACACCAUCAAAUGGGGAGCUUGAAUUCCCUUCACUGGACAGUUGCUCAGAUCCUUGUAAUUGAAUGAGUGAUGAAUGUAGCACACUGGAUUUCUCUCUGGAUCCUUUCUCUCCUUUAUUCUGUGACUCUCUGAAUCUCAGUCAUGCUUUCACCCAUUUUUUUUUAAGUCUCCCAACUGGAGUAUUUGUCUGCUUCUGCCAAACCCCAAAAGCUCUGUUUCAUGAAAAAAAAAAGAGAUCAUUUGGGAAAGGUGAAGUUUAAUUCAUGAAGAUAAUGGUCUUUGAAGGUGUCUGCUCCUUUGGCAGUGACUGAUUCAAAGGAGUUCCGUUUCAGGAUGUCUGUUCUGCUGUUCCCAAGGCUGCAGAGAGGAGGAGGGAUUGUGCAAGGCCAUAUAAAUCAGGGGCUGUUACGGGGAUGUCAAACACAACUGCACCACGGGGUGCUAAUGGUGAGCAGGCAAGGAAUCAGAGCAAGUCAGAACCAAUGGAGAAAAGCCACAAAGCUCCUGUGUCUGGUUCUCCAUGCUUCCCAAAAGUGCAGUGUCUGCACACUCCUGCUCUGUCCUGGGAAAAGCGCAGGCUGCUCCACUGAUCCGUAUCACAUUUUCAAAGUGCUCCAGUAAUUGGAUGAGUAGGUUUGGUGGGAACAUCUUUGGUUCUCCCAUCAGGAAAGAUCUAAAUGAAGCUAUGUGAGCACAUCUCCAGCCCAGGUUGCUUUCCCACGUCAGUCCACUGGAUUUGUGCUCACCUGAGGCAGUGGUGACCAGGCCACUGGACACACAGCAACUUCCACUGGAGUGGAAGAAGAACACUCCCAAUCUUUGUGCAUGCAAAUAGGAGUUUCCUCCUUUUCCAGUAGCAGUUAAAUCCCAAAGUUCUGACCCCAGUCAGCUCCUGGGUGCUGGAGUAAGAAGUGAUUUGGGAUCUCUGUGUGCAGCUUUUGGAGAAGGGGCCAGUGCUCAUGCUCUCCCCCUUCCUCAAUCCCAUGAGCAUUCCAGGUUUCCAGAGGUUCCAGCUGGCUCUUCCACCCCCUGCUCAUCUCUCAGACUCCAGGCUAUGUGAUGGACCCUCAGGUUUGUGGGCACAGAGCACAGGUGGAUGUCACGGGGGAACAGUUUUCUCUCCCACAAUGACUGUGUGAUCUUCACAGCUUCCCAAACACCUGUUACUCCAGGAGAGAAGCUGAGCUCAAACCAAAAUGAAGCUGUUAGAGCUUUAAAACAGGCCACGAGACUCCCUUUGUGCAGAAGGAAUUCAGGCUGGUGGAAGGUUUCAGGGACUGGAUGUGUGUUGUGAGCCAGGAUCGUGGCUGACCACAAGUCCAUUGGACAGGCUGUGCCUGUGCAUGUCCCUGCGAGCACAUUCCACCGUGGUUUCUGCACUAGUUUUCAUUAUUUCUCAAUAUUCCCACUAAUAUUUCAUGUAUUUAUCUUGGUUGUGGGUAAUUUCAGCAGUGAAAGUGCUGACUCUGAUGUCCUUCGGGGACAUUGGCUUGGGACAACCCAACAGUUCUGUGUGGGCCUGCAGAAAAUGUUCUGCCCACUGGUCUCCAAUCCCAAGAACGUUCCGUUUCUCUGCAUAUCCUUAUGCACAGCAUUGACAGCAAGACAUUUGUGUAGAUGAAUAACCUAACAAUUCCAAAUAUUAUUUAUUUUCCAGGACUUCUGGGUCACGAGAAUGAUGGGACAGGAAAGACUGAGGUGCAGCUGGAUCACUCCAGAUCCCGGCCAGUGGGGUUUGUGUCUCCCUUCCGUAUCAGGCCAAGCAGAACCUGCUCCUCCUCCUCAGCCGAGUGAGUGUGUGAGGAAGUGGGAGCUGGGAGAAAGGGGAAUGUUGUCUGGAUCUCAUGUUGUCCUCUGGAAGGUUUUAAUGAUCUUUAGCUUCCAUACAGAAAGGCUCCUUCUGGAACCAGGAGAGCUCUCACCCGAGGAGCAAAAUCAAGGUGAAGUGCAAGAUGCCUUACCUUUGUCACUUCUAACGGGACAGGCAUCAUUCACUUGGCUCGACUGAGAAUUAGUGAAACCUCUCACGUGUCUCAGCCACCUGUAGCCAGGAACAAGACCAAGUUCUUCCUCUUCCUGGUGUGGAAACUGCUCACAGCGAGGUACAUGCUCUUGGGUCUGAGUUCCCACUGCUCCCAUCCCACAGCAGGAGCCUGUGCACAGCAGGUGCUUCUUCAGGAGCCUUCUGCAGGCACCACACCCCAGGCACUGCUGCAUUUGCCUGAAAUUGGAGGCAGAACUUAAAAAAAAAAAGAGAGACAGUAAGAGAAUAGGAGUGGUUUUGAGGAUUUUCUUCCUGAUGUCUUUCACUGGUACUUUUUUACAGCUUUGUUUUUAAGCUGAGCAUAAUUCAUGAACUCUGCUCUUUAGUAAAAACACAUGUUAACAGCAGUAGUAGCAGUAAACAUAAAAAAAAAGCCAGCCAUACUAUGCUUUGUGGUCCCCUGUGCUUUCUCCAAAGGCAGUGCUUCCCAGAAUAUCCUGGCAGCCUCAGGAGUGGUGGACACCGCGAUGACACCCCAGAAGGAGCAGCUGAGUGCUAGUGAUUGCUGGAGGUUGGCAGGAAAACACUGGACUCCCGUCUGAAAACACAAACCCAACAGAUCACAGAGCAAACGCCAGCCUGAAAGAGGGGUCAGAGGCAGAUUGCAGCCCUCUGGGACUGGGAAAACAGGAGAUUUGUGAGAAAGCUUUUCUCCCUCUGUCAAAUCUCUGUUAUUUGUUACCUGCCUCAGAAGGCUCACGGCUGAAAAAUACCAUUGCUUUGCUUCGUGGAAUCUAAAUGUCCACAUGAUACAGACAUAAACCUCAAUUUCUUCUCAGCCCUCACCAAAGGUUUUUGGUCACAGAAGGACAGUCUUUUUGAGAAAUUCAUUUUUGUUGAAAACCUACACUUCUGUGCUUUCAGAAACGAAGGGCACUUCUGAUAACAACUUCUGAUAGCCUGAACAUCUUUCUCUACCAGUUCCCCACUUUCAGCAGUGUAAGUUUGUUCCAAGCAUCUAAAUUCUCUCCAGUUUUUGGCAGUGAUGCUUCUUAGCUGAACUCCUUUGGGAAUGUGAAGGCAUCUUGCUUGUGCACAAAACGUCCAUUGCCUGUAUAGCAUAAGAGCAUUUUCCUCCCAGAUUCCCCUGCCAGCAUGUGCCUUCCACUAUGGGAGGAGGAAGAAAUGCAUUUCAACUUCUGGUCCUUCUAAGAGCAUCCCUCAAAAAAUGUGUAUUAGUGGGCAGGGAAGCAGGUGGAGCAACAGCCUGGGCAACAUUUACUGUGUGGUGGUUCCUGGUCACAAGGAGCUGGGAUCAGCACCUUCACCUCAUCUUGGAGCAGUGGUGUUCAAACCCCACCAAUCCCUGCUGGAGUCAACUCCCAGCCUGUGGUUUUCUGCUGCUCCCCCUGCUCCGUUCAGCAUCUCCGAACACCUUUGUGUCUCACUUGGACAGAGUCACAUUCUGACCUCUGAGACACAUUUCAUAUUUCUCAGAAUCAAUAACUUCCGAUGCAGUUGCAGGAAUACCGGGCAGUCGAUAAGUCCCGUCAGGUUCCGUUAGGAGGAAAAGCGGAGCAGCGUAAGGAUGACAUUUCUUAGGGAACUGCUAUCCGGGCAUAUUUGUUGUUUCAAUUUGUCUGACUUCAGGGCUCAGCCAGGGACUGCAGCCUGUAGCACUCAUGUAAUUUGAUUUUAGAGCUGCCAUUCAGGUGCUGAGGGAAUAACAGCAGCGGCAGAACCCCUGUGUGGCAGCAGACCCAGCGAUCCUGACGUGCCGAGUGCCCAGACCUGUCAGGGAGAGCCGAGGGCUCACGGCUCCUUCACCCACGUUCCACAUCCCUUCGGAGCUCCUGGUCUGCUCUCCUGGCUUUGAUCACCGAUCCCCUGGGACGAGCAUAGAAAGGAGUUCCCCAACACAUCCUAUUCCAGCCAUAUGACCGAACACCCCAGCUGACCCUUUCAGAACACUGCAGUCUCACUUCCCCUGGCAUAGGAGAAAACGUGAUGGUGUUUACAGAGCAGAAGCACUGGGACUCAGGAGAUGUGAAAGGUGGCCCUGCUGCUCUACCUCCAACACCUCUCUGUGGUUCUGCUUUCUGACUUCCUGUCAGGAUAACCUGGACUAAAACCCCUCUGGGCUUUUCCUGUGUGAUCCUACAGUGUCUGCCCAACCUCAGACUCUGUCAAUCUAGGACUCAAGGAGCUCCACCUUCCUCUCAGACGUCCUGGGAAACUCACCUCAGUGAUUGGAAGGUCUGCCUCCAUUUAUGACCCUCCCUGACUCCACUGAGGAGCUGGAACUGCUGUUGACAUCAGGAAUGACAGAAGUGUGUGCUGGGGUUGGAGGGUUUCUGGCACAUGACCUGUUAACCUAGAAUUUGCUCGGCAAAGUCCAGAGGAUGACUUUUAACCUCAGAGCAGUUUGCAAAACCACAUCUGUGAUCAAUAAAUGUGAAAAAUAAAUGAAAAAAAUAAAUCUAUCCCCUAUUGAAGGAUGAAAGACAGCACACCUUGCUGGGCACUGGUGCUGGAAUCGGGAUGGAGAUCAGGAAUAAUUGGAGAGGUCAUGUUGCCAGAAGUUGUCCGUGGAUGGAGCUGAUGCCUCACACGAGGGAGGCAGCACAGAAGGUGAAACUGAAGGUAUCUCAUAGCUCUAAGUCUUAAACUUAAUGAGCCACGUCUUUAUUUGUGCUGCAGCCCCUUCUUAUCCCAAAUUGCCUUAACCAGCUGCCAGAGGAUGCCCGGUAACGAAAAAUUCUCUGGAUAACAAUAAAUUGGUGUAACGAUUCAGUGUCACCUCACAUCCCGCUAAGCAAUAGAGAAAUCACGGUGAGAAAAAUAGGCACGACCAGAGUGGCACUGAACAGUGCAAUCCUAAUUCCAUCACCCUUCUUGUGGGCGACAGAUAACCCAGUGCAAUUUACAGCCGCUCUGAAGCGGCUCCAAGUCUCAGCAGGAGUCGGGAAAGCUCAGCGUAGCCUCGGGACUGAGGAGUCAUAAAGAUCAGGGGAGUUGUUGUUCCAUAACCUUGCCUCUGCAUCAAAACCAGGGGGCUGGCUUGGAAUGGGAAGCACUCCAAGCAAAACACAAAAUUUUAAUCACCGAAAUGAAGGUCCUCCUCUGGCUCCCUCUCUGGAGAAUAGUCUGUCUCUGCUGAUCAUGCACAGACUUCCAAAGAAGAGAUAACGCCAGCAAUGUAAUCCUGGGCUGGCACCGAUGCAGGCCAUCAGCAAUGUGGAAAUUGCCCCGUGAGGGAUGUCGUGGUUGGCACAAGCUCCAGCACUCCAAGGGGGUGAGACUAGAAAAGCCCUGACAGAAGGAAGAGAAGGACAAACGUUUAUAAUUUAACCCGAGGAUAAAUUGCAGCUGGUUGCUGGUAAUCCUUGUGACAUAUCAGAUAGCAGCGUAACUCGGCAAGGGCAAGCUGGAGAAACCCAAACAUCUUUCUGAGGAGGUAAUUAUUCCAUUGUGAAAAUGCCCCGGGAUAUUUUUAGUGGCCAAACCCCCUGUUUCCUGACAGAAGCAUAAAAUAAUGAAGCAAGUUUCACAAGGAGAGACGCCUCAGACACCUGUAUUAGCUGGUGCUUUGCAGUCACGUCAGCGUUUAAUUCGCUGUGCGCAUCCCCGCAUCCCUGUACGGCAAAAUCCACACCUGCGUUUGGGGCACUGCACACUCUGCCAGCGUCUGCCUCGCAGAAAACCCUCUCCAUAAACAAAUCUGCAAAUCCCGCUGGAUCAGGGAGAAUUUCACGGGAAUAUAGAGCUGCCUGCAACAAGAGGGACACCCUUGCCACACACACCGAGGUUAUCAAGGGAAACUUUCCUCAAUGAGAGUCUCACAACCAGCGUAAAAGCCUGGGUUUUUUGGAACAAAUGAUUUAAAAUUAGUUUUAAAACAUUUUGCAACAUGUUUUGCGGGGUAUGUACCCGUGUUUCACGUUGUGCGGUGCCCCAGGGGGUCCAGUUGUCUCCCGGAUACCUCUAGCCCCGGUGCCAUGUAAUUUACGUCCUGAAAGAGACAAUUCAAUUAGUCAAUAAUAAAAUGAGCAAGGACAC